rnacentral:lncRNA from 1 species
CCACCUGAUUAAUAUCUCCCUAUGUGUGUAUUCCUGAGAGUGUGCUGGAUAUGUAUUUAGUACAAUGUAUGUGACUAUCUGUAAGAAUUGUUAAAUGCAUAAUAUCAUUCUUUUAUGCUUGUUAUAAUUCUUUGCUUCAUGUAAGAUCACCUGAUUCCAUUUGCCUUUGUUUCCCCAACUAGGGAACACCAAAACUAUACAAAUAGAUCUGCUACUCCAUUGUAACAUUAGAGAUUUUUAUAUGUAAAUUUUUAACAUUUUUUGCCGUACGCCUUACUUGGUAAUAUUGACCCUUUUGGCAGUGGUGCUGGGCGGUAAAUCAAGAAAGGAAGGUUACAGGUUCUGCCCCUGACUCCGGCGCUGAUCACACUUGUAUGAUGUUUAUAUACUUUAUGAUAUUAUAUAACUUAGACUUAGACAAGUCCCAAACAUUGGUACCCACUGCUAAGCUGGACGGUUAGAACUGGUUAGACUAGGACUAUUGUCUGUAUAAUGUGACCGAGUGGAGUGUCGUACUACAGUGUCCAGGUUAUGACAUUUCAGUGAUCGGGUGGAGUGUCAUACUACAGUGUCCAGGUUAUGACAUUUCAGUGACCAGGUGGAAUGUCAUACUACAGUGUCCAGGUUAUGACAGUCGAGUGACCAGGUGGAGUGUCGUACCACAGUGUCCAGGUUAUGACAGUCGAGUGACCAGGUGGAGUGUCGUACCACAGUGUCACGCUUAACACAUUUCCGUGAGAUAGCAUUUUAAAGUGGCCCAAACUUAUAUAUAAGUGGCUCCAUCUUUCACGGACAUCGUUUUCACAUGACGUUUGGGUUUACGGGGAUGGUUACACCAAUACUGACCAUAACGUCAAUUUUUGUUGUUUGUAAAUGUUUCAUUUUUGUUAAAUUGGUUCUAUUAUAUUAAAUACCAUAAUCGAUACAGUGCUUUUGCAGGUGUAAAUAUAAGAUCUUGAUGUCUACAUGUAAUAAUUAUGAUAUAUUGUUUGUAUUUACCUACAGAAGGUGUAUAUUUCUUUGUCUAUCAUCAAAUACGCAAGAUGUAUUUAUCUAUUUUUCGAAUUUCAUUGUAUAUUAAGAGUUAUGUUGAGGUUAUCAGUGUGGUUUUGUCCUGUAUUAAAGUUAUAUGUAUGUACAACUUCUAAACCAUGCAGCUUUGCCUGUUAUAUCAUUGAUGGAUACGUUAGGAAAUACCUGUGGCUGGAGGCAUCUGGGUGUCACGUACGCGUUCUUUCACCACAGAAUUAAAUGAAAUGGAUCACGAAGGAAAGCUCUGGGGAAACACAAUGAAAUGAAGUUCGAUCACGCAGCUUCUUAUACAUUGAAUGUAAUAAUUUAUUUCUCAUUAUAUUGACAGGGAUAUAGAGACUGAAAUGUUUGCGUCUACUAAUGUUAUUAAACCGUAUUAGAAAGACCAGUGAACAGUGUAUUUUCCAAACUUUGAUUGGAUUGUCUCCCGUUUUACUUGUUCAGGAUGUCUCUGUCAUCCCCAAAAGUAUGAUUUCUCUGUCACCUCCUAGGGUUCGACAGAUUAAACACAGAAAAAACUAUGAUGUCACGUAAACAAUUGGAUGUGAAGUCAUAAUGAACUCUUGAUGAGAGAUGAUGAGGUCAUGUACGAAUCAAGAAAAUAAAUAUAUUACAAAAGCUUGUUUUUAAACAAAGAAUUUGGAAUGAUGAGAGAACAAUUACAAUCACUUACCUUGGAGACAGAGCCUUGUAUUAAACAACCAAAUAAAGCACACCUCGGGUGCGACACAUGAUUGGAUUCAAUAUUGUGAGAGUAAAAGUACAGAUGACCUCUUAUGAAUCAUAUUCUUUUAGCGUACAUUUUGUAAUCUAGCUUUAGCGUUUUUCGCGUUUUUACUAUUGCGCCAAAUUAUAUAAGCGCUAAUUGAUGAUUUUAUAAAUUGUCACAUUUAGCAAAUAUCGUGGGCGAUUCAUCAAUGAGCUUUUCUGUUAAAAUUCGAUAAUGCGCUGAGAUAUGUGUACGCUAAAAUAAGUACGUGUACAGUAUCUGUUAUACCAAUUUCAUAUGAGUUAAAAACACAAUGUUUUCAGCACGUAGUUGAUGCCAGACUUGUAUCAAAUGUAGAUUUUAUAUGGUUAGGUUUGGUUUUGAUGAUAUUAAGGACACAUUUCUGGUACAGGAUAACAUACAAUGUAUCCAAUACAUCAGAUAUGUUCUGUAUUCACUUUAAUAUACUGAACAAUAUGCUGAUGUUGUUUACUGUUGCAUUGAGAUUAUUGCACAAUAAUCGUUUCCCUAAUUUUUGUCUAUUUCUUUUUUUAAAUAUCCCCUCAUUCUUUACCAUGUAUUAGAGUAACAAAGGGGCUACGCAAUCGGUAUGUGUUUAUCCCUUCAUUCUUUACCAUGUAUUAGAGUAACAAAGGGGCUACGCAAUUGGUAUGUGUUUAUCCCUUCAUUCUUUACCUUGUAUAAGAGUAACAAAGGGGCUACGCAAUUGGUAUGUGUUUAUCCCUUCAUUCUUUACCAUGCAUUAGAGUAACAAAGGAGCUACGCAGUCGGUAUGUGUUUAUUUCUUCAUUCUUUACCAUGUAUUAGAGUAACAAAGGGGCUACGCAAUUGGUAUGUGUUUAUCCCUUCAUUCUUUACCAUGUAUUAGAGUAACAAAGGGGCUACGCAAUUGGUAUGUGUUUAUCCCUUCAUUCUUUACCAUGUAUUAGAGUAACAAAGGGGCUACGCAAUUGGUAUGUGUUUAUCCCUUCAUUCUUUACCAUGUAUUAGAGUAACAAAGGGGCUACGCAAUUGGUAUGUGUUUAUCCCUUCAUUCUUUACCAUGUAUUAGAGUAACAAAGGGGCUACGCAAUUGGUAUGUGUUUAUCCCUUCAUUCUUUACCAUGUAUUAGAGUAACAAAGGAGCUACGCAGUCGGGGUGUGUUUUGUCUAAGCGUUUGUCGAGUAACCGUUGUGGUAACCAGAUUGUUAAACCCGGUCCUGUGAUAGCCAUUAUGGUUAUUUUUUGUCUUCUUGUAUCCGUUCCUGUGUUUCGUGGUAUCAAACUUCAUUUGUAGGAUAUACCGGGAUUUAAAGAUGUUAAACUAUCUGUAGAGUAUACAGGAAGCUGUAAAGUAUACAUAUAAUAGGAUAUUAUGGUUGGGAAAAAUUGUGCCUCAUCCCAUCUACACUGCAUGCCGAGGCGACUCUAUUGGACACCUUGUUAAAUGUAGGGUUCUUCAUUGUGUUCAGCUUUAAGGAUACCGGAGAGUCCAAAACGAAUCUGUUGCUUUAUUACGUGACCAGAUGGAAUAGUAUUGUUGUGUCGGAUGGCUGGCUGUGUUCUUCAAUAAAAACACAAAGAUCGUCCGAGUUUUCAGUGCAACCUUUUAAUGGCGGUAAAACUCAACGAACCCCGGAUAACGUGCUUACGUGUCUUAAUAUCAAAUCCGGGGACCGGACCCCGAUUUCCGUAAGCGGUAAAUCCGCAUUACACUACCCCCUUCCAGGCUCCUUUAGCUCCUGCUAAAGGUCAAGCUUGGUAAGCUGCUUAUAUGCCCGGCCGUAACGCUAGGACCGGGAUUGUUCAUCUGGGAUGGUUCGCUGUGAACACCUUCCAGUUGGCACGGAUGUCUUUGGCUCUUCCUCUGAAAAACUGGCUUUCAGUGAUUGUUGGCUGUUCUGCGGCUCGUGGUGGUUUUCCUCUGUCCCGAACUUCUUAUCCAUGGUUGGAAGAUGGUCUUCCUCAGCAAUCGUUGGGAGAGCGGAGGUACCAAGAUCAUGCUUUAUCUUGGUAACCCAGGCCGGGAUGACCUCAGACAAAUAUUGUUUUAGCCGGACAUGGUGAAGAACUGAGACCUUCUUGCGGCGACAGACCUCAUACACGACCGGACCAAAUUUCUUUGUGAUAACAAAAGGACCAUUCCAAACAGAUUGAAGUUUUGGAGAUUGUCCAACAGAUCGUGAUUGGUUCUUCACGUAUACAAGGUCCACGACGUGGUACUCUCUUCCCCUAGCCCGUAGAUCAUAUACUUUUUUCUGAUGUACCUUUGAAGCCCUCAAUGUUUUCCUAGCUUAUUCCUCAGUAAUGUGCAUACCCUCUAACAUCCGGUCGAGGUAUGUGGGUGCGUCAUCAGAGGAACGCGAAAUAUCCGGAUCCAUGUAGAUCAGCUCGGGAGGAGAAUGGCCCUCUCUACCCCGCAUCAACAGGUUUGGUGUAAAUCAUGUAGCAGGGUGUGGCGUACUUCGAUAUGCAGACAGAAGAAGGGGAAUGUUCUCAUCCCAAUUCGCCUGGCCAUGAUCUAGAUAACACCUGAUCAUCUGCAACAGCGUGCGAUUAAACCGCUCAACCUGACCAUUAGAUAAAGGGUGAUGGGGCGUAGUCCUGGUCUGUGCGAUUCCGAGUAACCGGCAUACUUCCUUGAACAUGGCGUUUUGGAAGUUUCGUCCUUGAUCCGUGUGGAUCUCCAGGGGUACACCGAAUCUAGAGAUGAACUCCAGGACCAGUUUUUUCGCUGUCGUGUUGCUGUCCUGUUGUGUGAUUGGGUAAGCCUCGAUCCACUUGGUGAAUUGGUCAAUGAUGGCAAGUAUGUAUUUGUUCCCAGCAUCAAGAAUAGGAAAAGGCCCAACGACAUCUAAUUGUAUCCUGUCCAUUGGCGCUCCGUAGAUGUAGGUCUGCAGAGGUGCUCAUAGUUCUACUUCUCUUCUUUUCAGCGGCACUUACAUGACAUUUCCGAACAAAUAUGUUCACAUUCAUCGACAUGUUGUGCCAGUGAAAGUCCUUCUUCACUCGUUCCAGAGUUCUCUUCUCCCUUUGAUGACCAAAGUAAACAGCUUCAUAACACGCCCGCAUGAUCUUUUUUCUCAUCUGGAAUGGAACCAGGAGUCGCAGUGAUCUCCUAGAGCUGCAAUCUCUUUGGAAGUGACCCUUACCACCACAUCUGUAACAUUCCUUUCCUUCUUUGUUAAAUCCACCUUGGCGUUCGUUCCCUAACUGGUCGAAUCUUGCGCGACACUCUAGCGAGCUAUUACGAACAAGAUCCUCCAGCUGUUUCAUCCGAACAUCUAAUUUACUGAGGCUGUCCGACUCUAAGGCAGUGUUUGGCAAUUGAACACGCUGUGUAUUCAACGCUUCUUCGCCAUCGGAGACAUUUUUACACCAGCCCCAUCAGCCCAUGAAACGCGCCGAGCCCUGUCUCGUAUCUCUUUCUCCCUACCGAUGGUGGCUUUGAAGUUAUGUUCUUGUGAAGUAACCAUUUCAAUAGCCUCAUUGAUAGUUUAGGUUUCUUGUUCAACACAUCAUAAGUUACCUUGGGGUUCUUGUACUCCUUGAGGAAUGCCUCUGCAGCCAAUUGAUCCUCCAAGUCGAGAUCUACAUUAGGAUAAGCAAGGGUAACUAGGCGUCAAACCUCUUCCCCAAAUUCGUCAUUACUUAGGCUGCGUUGCCUUACUUCAUGUAAUUUUGAUCGCGCUGUUGUGGGUGGGUCUCUUCGUCCGAACCGCUUGAUCAGACUAUCCUUUAGAUUCCUGUAAUCUCUUCUCAUCGCCCUUGGUAAGGAGCAGAUGUAUCACAUGGCCCUUACUUUUAGACAUUCGUAGAGUCUGUCAACUUUCUCAUUGUCUGUCCAGUUAUAACGCUCUGCUAACCGUUCAAAGGGAACGAUAAAACCUCUAUAUCCUCCUUUCCCUCAAACACUGGAAGUUUUGUUUGAGGACCUUUUCCUUGAUGUCUGUUUAGCAUACGUCCCAUAUCCUGUCUUUCCAAUGAGAGGGUACUGGAUAGUGCAGAGUUCUGUCCAUUAAAGUUUGGGCUUGAAUAUGAGCGUUCUCUAUCCUGGAUCACCAGGAGUUCUUCGUCAAAACCACCAAACGAUCAUCUGUCUGUCGACUUUACGAAUUCUUGUUGUGGACCCAUAGAUGAAAAUGUACUCUGUGCAAGCGGUGCUUGAUGUCCUUUUUGAAUUUUGCAUUUUGAAUAUCAUGACCUGUCUCCUGCAUGAAGGACUUCAUCAUUUCACUUUGUGCCUCAAAGCUUCGUUUCUUUUCGUCUUCAAACUCCCCCAUAGUUUGCCGAAACAUCUUCAUUUGUUUAUCACGCUGCUCAUCAAAACUUUUCAUUACCAAUUGAAGCAUACCGUAUGCCGCAGCUGACGCAGUGUCUACUGAAGACUCUCCUUCCCCUGGGGUGACUUCUUGUUCUUUAUCACUCAUUUUGUUCAAAUGCUAACUGUAACAGUUCCUGUUGGUUAACGUGGACCUUCAAAAUGUCCUGGUCCACAAAACAAGUUUUCACAAUAUUUAAUUCAAGUCGCCUAAACCACUUCCUCGCCAAGAGUUCCCCAGGAUGGAGACUGUCCUCCAAUAAUUCUCUGAAAUAUCGCUCUUUUCCCUUUUUUCGACAAUCACGAAGAUCAGCAUUGAAUUUAAGUGUUGUGGUACCAAGUUCUUUGUUGAGAGUUCAAUUUUAGAGUUCAAGAAGUGUACCUGGCUGGAAACUUCAGCAUCUGUUUCUAGAAACUUGCUCGGAUUAUGGUGACCUUGGAUAUCAUUGUAAAGGCUAACCGAAUAAACAGGUAUUCAAUAAAUUGAAUUUUGCA